rnacentral:rRNA from 1 species
UACGUAGGGGGCGAGCGUUGUCCGGAUUUACUGGGCGUAAAGCGCACGUAGGCGGAUUUGUAAGUCAGGGGUGAAAUCCCGGGGCUCAACCUCGGAACUGCCUUUGAUACUGCAAGUCUCGAGUCCGAUAGAGGUGAGUGGAAUUCCUAGUGUAGAGGUGAAAUUCGUAGAUAUUAGGAAGAACACCAGUGGCGAAGGCGGCUCACUGGAUCGGUACUGACGCUGAGGUGCGAAAGCGUGGGGAGCAAACAGG